GAAACAUUAACUAGGUAACUAUGUUAACUAGGUAACUAUGUUAACUAGGUAACUAUGGAACAUAAGCAAAUACUUUUACACAAGGCAGCUUUAGCCUCACUUCUAACUAUCCAAGUACAACUUCCCACUGGGCUUUCUCAUUGCUCCUGCUGUAUACUUCAAAGGUGCUGUGACUCCAGAAUACCCUGCAUCCAGUUUGCGAGAAACACACCCAGAGCUCCUGCUGCGCACAGCCCUAGCUCUGCCACUUAUGCUGCAGUGGGAAAUUCUGUGAGCAGAGUUUUACUGGACUCCUCAGAAGCUACACCCAUGUUAGUAAUCUUCACAGGUCCAGGACAUGAUUCAAUUUUUGUUAAGCUCUUGUCCAUGAUGAGUGAACAAAGUGCUUUGUGGAUACAAUAAAAGCUGUGGUGGAAAAAAGCAUUUACAGAUAUUCCAUAAACUCUCCUGACCAUGCAAGGCCUAUUUUACUUACUGUUUCAGGCUCAUGUUAUUUACAAAUAGAGCACAGCAAUGUUUGUGGUGUAGGCUCAUUACCUGGUCCAACUCUGCUGAUGCUCUCUUUGCCCUGGCAUUGCAGGGGCAGAUUGGGAAACAGUACUGCUCAAGAGCUGUACUGUUUGUGCCCCCAGUCGCACUGUCAAACCUCUCCCAGAGCCAUAAAUCCUGAGGUGCCAUCAAUACAUGUACUUCCAGUGCAAGACCAAGGUGGGUUUUAGGGUGUUUUGUCUUCAUACACUCAAACCUGG
rnacentral:lncRNA from 1 species